rnacentral:rRNA from 1 species
CUGGCGGCGUGCUUAACACAUGCAAGUCGAACGAGAAUCUAUGGAAAGAGGAUUCGUCCAAUUGAAAUAGAGGACAGUGGCGGACGGGUGAGUAACGCGUGAGGAACCUGCCUUUCAGAGGGGGACAACAGUUGGAAACGACUGCUAAUACCGCAUAACACAUAGGAGUCGCAUGGCUCUUAUGUCAAAGAUUUAUCGCUGAAAGAUGGCCUCGCGUCUGAUUAGCUAGUUGGUGAGGUAACGGCCCACCAAGGCGACGAUCAGUAGCCGGACUGAGAGGUUGAACGGCCACAUUGGGACUGAGAUACGGCCCAGACUCCUACGGGAGGCAGCAGUGGGAAUAUUGGGCAAUGGGCGCAAGCCUGACCCAGCAACGCCGCGUGAAGGAAGAAGGCUUUCGGGUUGUAAACUUCUUUUGUCAGGGACGAGCAGAAGACGGUACCUGACGAAUAAGCCACGGCUAACUACGUG